GGCGAGGUAGCUCAGUUGGUAGAGCACACGACUGAAAAUCGUGGUGUCCCCGGUUCGAUCCCGGGCCUCGCCA
rnacentral:tRNA from 2 species